CGCGGCCUAUCAGCUUGUUGGUGGGGUAACGGCCCACCAAGGCGAAGACGGGUAGGGGACGUGAGAGCGUGACCCCCCACACGGGCACUGAGACACGGGCCCGACUCCUACGGGAGGCAGCAGUGAGGGAUCUUGCGCAAUGGGCGAAAGCCUGACGCAGCGACGCCGCGUGGGUGAGGAAGCCCCUCGGGGUGUAAAGCCCUUUUCUGGGGGAGGAUGAUGACAGUACCCCAGGAAGAAGCCUCGGCUAACUACGUGCCAGCAGCCGCGGUAAAACGUAGGAGGCAAGCGUUAUCCGGAAUUACUGGGCGUAAAGGGCGUUUAGGCGGCCUGGUGAGUCCAGCGUGAAAGCUCCCGGCUCAACUGGGAGAGGUCGUUGGAUACUGCCAGGCUUGAGGGCCGAAGAGGGGGGUGGAAUUCCCGGUGGAGCGGUGGAAUGCGUAGAGAUCGGGAGGAACACCAGUGGCGAAGGCGACCCCCUGGCCGGCCCCUGACGCUGAAGCGCGAAAGCGUGGGGAGCAAACGGGAUUAGAUACCCCGGUAGUCCACGCCGUAAACGAUGGGUGCUAGGUGUGGGAGGUAUUGACCCCUUCCGUGCCGAAGGUAACCCGAUAAGCACCCCGCCUGGGGAGUACGG
rnacentral:rRNA from 1 species